AUUCCUUUAGAAUUCAAAAUUUGAAAUGUUCAAAUACUGUUCCUUUGAAAACAAUUCAUAAAACCCAAUCAUACAUUCAUAAUGGCAUCAUCCACCAAUAUAUUCAAAAAUAGAUUAACAAAUAAUUCUUAAUAUUUCACACCAAGUAUUCAUAUAUACAUGAUUAGACCUUGACCAUCAGCGGAGUGACUCUGGGCACGGUUGCUAACAUUUAAUGUCAUGGUAAACCUACCGAGUAAUGGAUAAGGAGGAAUACCUCGUUCUAGGAUCCAAUCACCAUUGACUCAGAAACCUAAAACAUGAAUUUUUAAAAACGUGAGCACAAACUUAGUGAGUGAACAUAGGAAGGGAACAAGCAACAUUAAGGAAUGUUUAGAAAUCACGAUGCACUUAUUUGAAAACGAUGCACUUUAGCUUAAGUCCUUAUUAAAACCCUCAAUUGAACCCUUGGUUGAAAAAUCAUGUGACGAUAGAGAAUUCAUAUUCAACAUGAAAUUGGAGAAAUGGAAAAUAUGGUAAAAACCGGCCAAAUGAUAAGCGGAACAGAAAGUUUCAUUCUUGCUGUAGCGAGAAACAGAGCAACAAGAAAUACUUCCUUUCAUCCCAAAUAAACCAUUUCACUAUAAUGCAAAUCAAUUUGGAACAUUAAAAAAAUACUCAAGGUUCAGCAAGUAGGACUCCAUAUACAUUAUAGUCACAUAUGUUAUUCAUAAAAUCUUUAUUGCAUUAAUACAUGUGAACAUAUCCAAACAUAUAUGUAUAUAUAUGUAUACAUCCACCGCCUCCCCAGCUCAUGUGCAUCCCCCCACAUUGUGCACAUCUAAUGCUGUCAUGUACAUCCCCCAACAUCGCGUACACGGGCAAUAUCAUCAUUUGCCUACCUCACCACUAUCAUUACCGGUAUGUGCAUCCCCCCACAUCGUGCACACACACGGUUAUAUCCAUUACACAAUAUUAUCUACCAAUGUACUAUACAUACAUAUAUAUAUCAACAUUAUACUGAAACAUAUGGAUUCAUCACACUAUCCAUUUCACAACAUAAAAACAUUUCAUAAGGGCUUGUUCCCAGGCUUUUUUUUUUUUGAAGAGAAUUGGAUAAAUCAUUCAAAAUAUUUGUCCAAAUACAUUCACAUCUCCAAAAGAGUUUUGAAAUGCAAGUUCACUCACCUGGCAACAACGAGAUAUUAAGUCACUAUUUGUUUGGAGGUGUCUCUAACUAUUUUCACUAGCUGGUCGCUCGUUAUUUACUUCGGCACGCCAUCACAG
rnacentral:lncRNA from 1 species